AUUGAACGCUGGCGGCAGGCUUAACACAUGCAAGUCGAGCGGAGAUGAGGUGCUUGCACCUUAUCUUAGCGGCGGACGGGUGAGUAAUGCUUAGGAAUCUGCCAUUUAGUGGGGGACAACAUUCCGAAAGGAAUGCUAAUACCGCAUACGUCCUACGGGAGAAAGCAGGGGAUCUUCGGACCUUGCGCUAAAUGGUGAGCCUAAGUCGGAUUAGCUAGUUGGUGGGGUAAAGGCCUACCAAGGCGACGAUCUGUAGCGGGUCUGAGAGGAUGAUCCGCCACACUGGGACUGAGACACGGCCCAGACUCCUACGGGAGGCAGCAGUGGGGAAUAUUGGACAAUGGGCGGAAGCCUGAUCCAGCCAUGCCGCGUGUGUGAAGAAGGCCUUUUGGUUGUAAAGCACUUUAAGCGGGGAGGAGGCUACCUGGAUUAAUACUCUAGGAUAGUGGACGUUACUCGCAGAAUAAGCACCGGCUAACUCUGUGCCAGCCGCCGCAGUAA
rnacentral:rRNA from 1 species